UUUCCGUAGGUGAACCUGCGGAAGGAUCAUUCAUAAUAAAGUGUUUUAUGGCACUUUUUAAAAAUCCAUAUCCACCUUGUGUGCAAUGUUAGAUCUCGUCAAUCUUGGCGAAAUUUUUAUACAUCAACUCAUUCUUUAACUAAUUUGUCUGAAAAAUAUUAUGAAUACUUAAUUCAAAAUACAACUUUCAACAACGGAUCUCUUGGCUCUC
rnacentral:misc_RNA from 1 species